GGAAACCGAGCUGACGAUAAGGCCGAUGAUUCCUCUACCAACUGAGCUAUUGACUGGGCUAAGGAUUGAAAUAAGGUUUGUAGUAAGUCAGGCUGUGGAUGUGACUGUGCUAUGGGAAGCGAGGCUGAAUGUGGUGGAGGUGGCGACUGAGCUUCGGGCCGGGCGGCUAACAGAGAUUCAUGGCGAGUCACUCCUGGCAACUCUGUAGGCCUUAAGCUGUCCAUGUUAGGAGUAGCAGUCUCUAAAACAGUCACAGCACAGGAAGAUCCAGGUUUAGCAGAGUCAGUAAUACCGAGCACAAAGGGAUCCGUUGCGGACACAGGAGCAUUCACACAAACGGUUUCUAAGUAUAUAGGUUGGAGAGCAGCAUAGUCCAGGAGUGAAGAAACACCAUUCACAGUCUUAUACUCAGCAGGUACAGGGACCUCAGAACUGUUAACUUCACGGUGUUGUUCAUGAGUAUGCAGCUCAACAAUAGUCUUUUGCUUCUCUAAGGUGAGAUUAUCAGUCUGUGUGUUAAUUGCUGCUGACCUGGGAGGAGCACAGGAAAAGUAGUCACACUGAAACAUGGGCGUGAGGGUAGGCAAUGCAGGUUCAGGAUUAACCGACCCAGAAUUACCAGACACGGAGUUAAUGGCCUCUGGGAUGACGCGCAUGGAGCUUACAGUGCCAGGAUUCUUUAAUUCAGCAUGAACAGCAGUCUCUGGGGGGGUAAUGAACUCAGUCUCAUGCUUAAAAGGUGCGGAGGUGAACUUAGAAACAUUAUGAGCCCUGGAAACACAGUCAUAUUCAAACUCACUAUUCAGUUCUGAUGUGUUACGGACCUGAAAAACAGCGGACUCAGGAGCAGAAUAUUGUCCGAGUUGGUCCGACUUGGAAGUGGCAUGGAAGAAACAGUUAGUGUCACUCACCACCGGAGUUUGCUCAGAAACGUUAGGGCGGCGGCGGCGUGAGCGCCGUUUUCGCCGAGAGGGGGGAGGAGAUGAGCCGGGCCGCGAAUCCUCCAGCGGACCGGGCUGAACGUCCUCCGACCCCUCACACUGGAGAGGCAGCUCCGGGCGGACGCCUACGGUGGAAACAAGGAAGUCCCGGAUGUGGGGGUGCAGCGCGCCGAACAGCCACGGGAGUCCGGACACCAUCCGCUGUAGACGGGCGGCUACGACCUCCCGGUGUUCG
ensembl:lncRNA